GCAGUGUAGCACUCGCGCCCUUGGGGGCUAGCGUUUGGCCGGAGCUACACACUCUUUACUCACGCACGCACACCGCCGUACACAGCACAAUCGUUCACCGUCCCGCCAAAGGCUCGUCUCUCGGGUUCUGCCUAGUGGAAGGAGUCGGACAACGCCGCACGUCACGGGCGUUUCGGAUUUCUUGCUUCCCAAAGGUUUGACGGCGGCCACCGGCGCCCCGGCCCAGCUCUGCUUUCCUUUGCUGACUCCUUCCUUUAGGUGUGAAUUUUAAAAUGCUGAUACCGCCCCAAGAGAGCUGAGUCAAGUGAGGCAAACGUUCGCCUGUUGUUCUCCUGACAGACUCCCUGCAGUGGGCAGGGGAAAUGUGGCCUUGGCCGACAUUAAUGAAGUGCCAGGAUGGAGGGAGGGGGCCUGCUGAUUUGUUCUGUUUUACUUUUUAAGGGUAACUAGAGCGUUACUGGAGUCGUCUGUGGGUUUGGGGAGUAUGUGGCGCGUGUGUGUGUCACACAUUUCACUGGCAACUCCCGCCAACCCCUUCCCAAGAAAUGAAGGCUCUAAUGUGGGCAGUUCUGCAACAAAGGUGAAACUUCCCCAAAUCACGAUUCCCCGCAAGAUGAGAGAGCAGGUGCAGCAUCCAUUUUCCCACUAUCACGCUUGAGAUGGUGGCUUUGGGCACUGCCGGGUGCCCCGACAUCCUUCCCAGAGCCCAGCCUUCCCACCCAGGCCCGGCCCUGCGCGGCCGCCUGCCUUUGCAUCAGAGACCGCGGCUGUGCCAUUGCCAAGGUGGGCAGCGCCGCCUCGCUUCCCCAUUCCUCCGUCUCCCACGCCUCUUGCGUGUUUGAGUCGCGAAGUGAUGGACUUUAAAUCUCAGAGGAGGAAUGAGAAACUUGGUUAGUGGCUCUCUUGGCAUGUUCGUAGCCCUGUGGUUGAAGUGGCUGAAACCUGCGUUGAGCCUCAGUCCAAGCAGCUGGGGCCACACCAGUUUGCAAAAGCGGAUGUGGCAGUUUCCACCGCAGCAGCAGCCUGCUGGCGCCUCAUCAGAUUCUCCUUUGGAGGAAGUAUCUUCUUCCCUUCAUUCUCGGUGAAUGGCAUCCAGAGAUAACCAAAAUCAGGUGUAUCUAGUUUCAAGUUCUGUCUUGCAACCGUGAUAAUUGGAGGAUGCAAACUUUACACUUUCUUCUCUAGCUGUCUACCACCACUGCUGCGCUUGUGGAUGACUGCAGGAACACCGGGUACUUGCCACAAGUAUCUCUCCAGAUUCAUCAGCCUUUCACCUGUGACAAGCUCAGUCAAGAAGUGGCUCCUAAGUAAAAGCUGGGGAAGAACAAGGAAGAUAGAGCUCAGAGUAGAAAGCUGUGAAGUUCUGCACAACAGGUCCCCUUGGCCUGCUCUAACAGUUGGAAGACAGGCAUGGUAGCUCAUGUGGAAGCUUCCCGAGGCCCUCACCCAGAAGCAGAUGCUGGAGCCAUGCUUGUACAGCUUGCAGAACUAAAGCCCAGCUGGCUUGGUUCCAUGAAUCUUUGCCCUUCUUUCCAUCCACUUCUUCCUGCUUGGACAUUGGUUACCUGGAGAAGCAGAAGCCAUUUUAAGAUGAUGAAAGCAAAAGUUAAAUGUAUGAGAUGAUGGUGCAGAAAGCCAAAAGGGGCCUCCAGAACACUGAGCUUUGUGGAGUCGUGUACCAUAGCUGUAUUGCCGACCUCUGAACUUCCUGCUGAGAUAAAAAACAAUCCUUAUGUGUUUAUACUACUUUUAUUUCAGUUUCUUUUAAGUAUAGCAAACACAUUCCAAAUAAUAUGCAUCUGAAGUUUUUGGUUUUGUUUUUAAAUUUUUUUUUUAGGGAUGGGUUCUGGCUGCGUAGUGGCUAGAGUGUAGUGGCUAUUCUUAGGUGCGGUCAUAGCUCACUACAGCCUCUAACUGGCCUCAAGCAAUCCUCCCACCUCAGCUUCCAGGGUAGCUGGGAUUACAGGAGAGCACCACACUGAAGUUUCUGUUAAAUAGAAUGUUUGCUGUAGAUUUUUAGUUGAUGUCCUCUGUUAGGUUGAAAACCUUCCUUUAUUUUCUUGUGAAAUUUCUAAGAGAUUUUUAAAUCAUUAACUGGUAUUGAACUUUAUAAAAUGAUUUUUCUGUGUCUGAGAUGAUCAUGUGAUUAUUUUUCCUGUUUAUGUCCCUUGAUGUGAUGAUUUUUAUUGUAGAUCUUCCUUUAUUGAACCAAAUUUACGUUAUUUAUAUUAACCCUAUUUGAUUGUAAUAUAUUUUUAGUAGGGUAUUAGACUCUGUUACCUAACAUUUUACUUAGCAUUAUUUUGCAUCUAUGUUCAUAAGUAAAAUAGGAGUUUUUUUCUUUAUGUGACUAGGUAUCAACAUUAUAUUGGCCUUAUAAAUUAUGUUGAACACUU
rnacentral:lncRNA from 1 species